rnacentral:lncRNA from 1 species
UCAGGCUGCUAUGAAGAAAUACCCAAGACUGGGUACUUUCUCAACUUUCAAAUUGAGCUGUUCAGAAUGUGUGAAACAAUUUUAAGAUGAAGUCAAAGAUACUUGAAGCAGAAGCUGUAUCUGAGGAAGCUGUAUAUAAACCCAAUUUAAAGCAAGUUUAACCUGCUGAUUGGGAAGAAUUUUUAUGAAAAGCUGUGUGCUUCCUGAUAAGAAAAAAGGCUUUCCUGUUUCGAUCAAACCAGAACCAGAUGAGAACUCAGCACAGGCACUGCAGCCACGGAGGUUUCCAGAUAGAAAAAUUGACACCCCUGAGAUCCCAUAACAUUUUGGGGACUCAUCUGGGAUCUGCGGAAGGAGCUUGACUCUUUUCAUUGGCAAUAAAUGGCGCCCCAACAUGGGGACUCAGAGAAGACUCAGGAGCCCCAAGCAGUUGUCCGAAAUCAGAGCUAAGGUACCAGCCAGGGUUAAUUGAAGACUCACCAAGUUCAAGCUUCUCCUUUGGUGGAACUGCUGAGAUUGAAGAACACUUGAAAAUUAUCAAGAAUGUACUGCGGAGUAUUGAAAUUGCAAGUUAUCAUCAAAGGAAGCUAUGAAUUCUCCCCUUCAAAUUUUAUGUUGAAAAGUAACCUCCAAUGUUGGAACUGAGCCUAGUGGGCGGUGAUUUCGUCAUGUGGGCAGAUUCCUCGUGAAUGGAUUGUGGCUGUCCUCACCUUA